GCCAACGUAGCCGAGUGAUAACGCUUACGACUUUGAUUCGUCAAGUUGUGGGUUCGCGCCCCGCCACGUCUGAGGUU